GUGUAUGGAUGCCCUGGUGUGUGCGUGCCCUGGUGUAUGGGUGCCGUGGUGUGUCAGUGCCCUGGUGUGUGGGUGCUCUGGUGUGUGGGUUCUCUGGUGUGUGGGUGCUCUGGUGUACGGGUGCUGCAAUUCUAUCUAGUAUCAUCUCUGACCACAUGGAAGGAAACUAAAAAUCAGUAACAGGAGGAAUCUUGGAAAAUUCAUAAAUAGGUAGAAAUUAAACAGUAUUGCCCUGAACAAUCAAUGAAAGUGUUUGACUCACAGUUCCGCAUGGCUGGGGAGGCCUCAGAAGACUUACAAUCAUAGUAGAACGUAAAGGGGAAGCAAGGCACCUUCUUCAUAAGGUGGCAGGAAAGAGAAUGAAGGCAGGAGGAACUACCUACCACUUGUAGAACCAUCAGACCUUGUGAGAACCCACUCAGUAUCAUGAGAACAGCAUGGGGGAAACUUCCCCCAUGAUCCAGUCACCUCCACUUGUUCUCUCCCUUGACACGUGGGGAUCUGGACACCUCAGAAAUGAAAGGAUCAUAAGGGACUAUUAUGAACUAUUAUAUGCCAGAAAAUUGGACUACCUAGAGGAAAUGGUUAAAUUUGUGGAAAAAUACAACCUGCCAAGUUUGAGUCAGGAAAAAAUAGACUGAACUGACCAAAACCAAAUAGGGAC
rnacentral:lncRNA from 1 species